CUGUGGUCAGUGCAGAAGAACAUCCACGGUCUGCAAGGUGGGGCUGGAAUGGCGCCCUGGAGAAGACCUCCCAGAGCAGAGGAAAGCUGAGGUGAACUUAAAAGAAUGAAUUGAGGGAGGGAUCUUGCCACCUCAUGAGGCAUUUUUGAAUGAGGCCAAAAAAGGAAACAAGCAUAUCCUGGGAGUUUUAUGAGAUGCCAGCCUCGGACAAGUGAAAUGGCAGAGACUGGCUAUUGUGCCUUUGGAGGGGAUUACUUUGAAUGGUCUGGAAAAGCUGAGAGGACACCAGGUCUGAUCCCUGUCCCCAGCCUACACUGUGAUGUCAUGGUUGGUAUAUUCUUAGUUAUCUCUUUCUUCCCUGGGACUCAUAGCCUACUUUUGCUCCCUUUUAAGUUAAAAACUAAACCUUAAUUAUACAGAGAGAAUCACUAGAUGGGACAUGAUUCGCCAAGAAAGUGGUGGGGGGGAGGGAGGGUGAUAACAACACAUUGACCAUCGAUAAAUCAGCUCCCAGGCUGUCCUGUCCUGUGACCUAUGUAAUGGGUAUUCUCUAGACCCUCAGCUAGGCAGAAAGCUCUUCAAGACUUGGGAUUUUUUCUUUCUUCCCUGCCCAGUCCCUGUCCCACUUCUCUCACACUUGGUACUAUUAAGCUCUUAAUAAUAACAAUGACAAACACUGGGCACCUGCUCUGUGCAGUCCAGGUGUUGAAGUUUCAUUCUGGUCGACACAGGCUGGGCCCCUGAAGACCUCUGUCUUCUCAGCUCCAACACUUCCCUCUCUGGGAUCCGACCACACCAGCCUUUUUUCCGUUUCUUGAACCCACUGAACC
rnacentral:lncRNA from 1 species